ensembl:lncRNA
UCCUCUGUCUGGGCCCCGCCCACUCUGGCCACGUGACUCACUUCAACCAAUACAGCAGCGCACAAGGGAUGCUGCGCCAAUUCUGGGGCUAAGCCUUCCUUAAAGGUGUUUUUGCACUUUGGGGAACCCUGAGCUGCCAUGUUAAAAGUCCAGCUACCUGGAGAGAUGCCAUGAAGAGGUCACGUUGAGCGGGAGAAGCCCUGAGGCUACACAGGGAGAGAAGGAGAGACAGACGGACAGAGAGAGAAGAGAGGCAGGGAGCCCCCGCGGAGCCCUCUCCAUCACUCCAGUUGUCCCAGCCUUGGGACAGGGGUUGCUGACCCAGAGCCUCCGUUCUGAAUGACCUGAAGCUCACGAUACACAAAUUCCCACUCGACGAGCGUCUUUUCUGCAGAGAGCUCCUUUCAGAGGGUACUGAAGGUCAGCGGCUGCAGUAGCACGUGACUCAUCCUUAUAGAGGGAGAUGUGUGCUCAGCCGCUCAGUCAUGUCCGACUCUGGACCCCACAGACUGCAGCCCGCCAGGCUCCUCUGUCUCCAGGAUUUUUCAGUGUGUGUCAAGGACAGGAAGGGCCACACCGAGGUCGGACCUGCAGCCAAGUCCCUCUGCUCUGAGAUCCAACUCAAGCCGACCCUCAUCCCAAGGCUCCGCUUUCCUCUGAAUCCUGAGGACGGUGAUGGUGCCGACAGUGGUGACAGGGGCGAUGGUUAUGACGAGGACGACAACAGCCAGCACCUGCCAGGCCCCCUGUGAGAGCCUAGAGCCGCUGAGCUCGGAAUCCUCUACCUGAGCUAGUCAAUGUAAUGUCAAUACAACAGCGCACCAGGCCGCUUAAUGUUGUUCCCAUUAAUUAGACCAGGAAACGGAGGCAGGACGGGCUAAGUGACCGCCCUGGCCACACGGCUACUCAGACACAGAGUGAGGAUCUGGAAUCCAGGCCACAAGCCUUAGGGAGCCCAGCCCUGAACCCUCCCGCAGGCUGCCUCGCUGAGGUUACGGGUCCUGGUCUUGCCCUUGUUCCCCUGCUGGGAUUCUCAGCUAACCGCUCCACUACCGAGCCUCCUUCUCUUCUCAAAGCCGAGUCAUCUUAGUCUUUGUAGCCCCGAAGUGUACGCAGUAAGCGCUCAAUUAUCAUCAAUCAGCUGGCCAAGACCCUGACGGGCAGAUGGUGAAAGGCUUUCAUUUCACAGAAGCAGGCCCUCGGCUGGCUCUUUCAUCCUAAGGGGGAACACCGUGGCCCUGACCCAGGCCCCGGGGGGUGUCAGAAAUCCAGAGAUGCUUGGCUGA